UGUUUUGUGAGCCUUCUGAUUGUUUGUCAAUUACAAAUAGAUCAAUUUUAACUGAACUCUUUCACCUUGUCUAAGCGAAGGGUAUCUCUAAAAGUGAGCUGAGAUUCAUCUUAGGAGUGUGAAAUUAUGACUGCAAUUGGAGGUGGUGGGCCUGAGAUGCAUGGUUGAGAUUGUGUUGAAUGGCAGUAAAGCUUAUCUACUGGAUCAUACAGCCAGAAAUGGAUUGGCAAAUAAACACAGCAAUCAGAAAUAUAAUUGUGGUCCUGAAUUGGAUGCUUAUAUCACAGCAGAAGCUGCGCGUGUACUUGGCUUGAUCGGUG
rnacentral:misc_RNA from 1 species